AACGAACGCUGGCGGCAUGCCUAACACAUGCAAGUCGAACGAGACCUUCCUGUCUAUUUGCGCACGUCUGCGUACCGCGUGGUAACCUGCCCUUAGGUUCGGAAUCCCUCCCCUAAAGGGGUGCUCAUACCGCAUAAUCUCUUCCGACCAAAGAUGUAUGGCUUUUGGAUGGGCCCGCGUUGGAUUCGCUAGUUGGUAGUGUAAAAGCAUACCAAGGAGAGGAUCCAUAGCUGGUCGGUGAGGAUGACCAUCCACGCUGGAACUGAGACACGGACCAGACUGGGACGGAAGGGAGGAGUGGGGAAUAUUGGAGAAGGGGCGAAAGCCUGAUAAAGCAAUGCCGGGGGAGUGAUGAAGGGCGUAGGGUUGUAAAGCUGUUUUAGCCGGGAUGAUAAUGACAGUACCGGGAGAAUAAGCACCGGCUAACUACGUG
rnacentral:rRNA from 1 species